CACACGCCCCCACCACCCCCAUCUUAGCGCCCCCCACCCUCUAUGGAGACAUUUCAACCAGGGAGAAGGGAAGUCCUGCCCUUGCCCCUCGCCCCCGCCCUGCUCCUCCAACAGGGGAGACUUCUGUCCAAACCUUGGAAAGAAACGAGAUGCCAGGCCUAGCGCCUUCGGGGAUCCUCUCUGGACAAGGCCACAGGGUGAAAACACCAGCACAGUCUGGACCUGGGCGGACUUUUUGGAAAAGCUUCUGGAUGCCACGGACUCCACGACCAACCAACUAGGUUGCUGCUGCUUGCAAACAUCGCCUCCAUUGAAGGAUUCCUGCAGCCACCAGCUCUGGAACUUUCUGGAACCAAACAUUUCCCCAGACUGCCUACAAGGACCAAUUGGCCUCUGGAUGUAGG
rnacentral:lncRNA from 1 species